GCCUCAGAUGGAACAAUGUGACCUUGAUGCUUGCUAAUCUGCUUUUUAUGUUUUCGGCACUGUCUUGAGCACAAAAUGUACUUGAUAAGAAUGUACAUCUGUAAGCGAGAGGAAACAUCCCCAUAUAUGGAGGAUUGAGAAUGUUUGAGGUGGGGGGGUGUAACCAGCCUUGUGUGACAAGAACCAUAUAAACCCCUUGUUUGCUUUUAAUAAAUCAAAGAACUGUUUGUGACUUUCUGUGUCCAUGCAUUUCUUCCCACCGGUGAAUUCCAUCUCCUGAUCGAAGAGUGACUGCGAGGAAGGCAGAAUAAAGCAACCGAAUCGAAUUUUACUAACAGUCCUGGUGUCAGAAGUGGGAUAUCUCCAGACAGUGACUGUGCCUAAAAGAUGUGUGGGGGAGAAAGUGAGCGGACAGCAACUGCUGGAGGCUGAUGAAGCAAUAAUUAACCCCAGAUUCUGGGCUCAGCACAAAGACGAAGCUGGCCUCAUAGAUGUGAAACUGCCACCUGACACAUGCCUGUUGCAGUAUGCCGACAACAUCAUAGUUACUUCAGAAACAUCAGAGGAUUGCAGAAAAGUAUUGAUUGUUAAUUGACGCUACAGUGGUUCAAACAAAAGUUUGAAUACCUUGAACAUGUGCUAACAAAGGGGACUGUACGCAUUUCUGCAGAUUGAAUCAAGACAAUUUUGCAAACUGAACAAUGAUGAUGCAAUCCAAUGGACUACGGAAAUGGACUUGGCAUUUAAACAUCUGAAGUAAUGCCUUGGGAAACCACCAGCGCUGGGUCUUCCGUACUACAGAAAACCUUUCCAUCUGUACGUGCACGAGGCUGGGGAGACUGCUGAUGCAAUCCUUGCCCAGGAGCCCGGGGGUUCUUACUGCCCGGUGGCGUAUUUAUCUAAAACACUGGAUUCAGUUGCAAAGGGCUUCCAUGGUUGUCUGAGAACAGCGAUGAUGGUACAGGAUGCAGAACGAGUUGUGCUGUCACAUCCUCUGACUGUGCACACUACUCACCAGGGCACUUUUGAACAUGACACGAUUGUACGGAGAGAAUACAGGUUUCCACUGCAUGCAGACUAGAUGUUUCUGCAUCCACUCCGCAAGAUGGAUGACACUGAAAAGCCCACUCACCCAUUUGUUCCAAACCAGAAGGUCCUAGUAAAGUGUUUGAACCAACAAAGCUCAGUGAGCACAAGCAUUUGGGUCCAACAACGGUUCUGGCGGUAACCAGGAUGGGGGUAAUGACAGAUCUGCAACCACAGUGGAUACAUGCAAGCCACGUGAAGCCUGCACCUGGGGAGAGCCUGACUAUUUUGAAAUCGAACGGUGAAAGUACUGGAGGAGCUGAACAUGCAGCACCAGUGCCUAACAGGGUUCUUGAGAAUUAGAAGGGACGAAGACAUGAUAGAUAGAUGAGACAUGGAUAGAUGAUGCACCACAUACCUAUGCUACCAAUUUAUGGUGGAAACUAGCUAACGUUGAUUUAUUGACAUGGUUAAAUGGUUGAACUUUUUCGGUUGAAUGCUUAAAUACCUAUAGGAGUCAUUUUAAUUGUUAUAGCAUUACUGAUUUGUUGUGUGAUUCCAUGUGCUAAAGCAUUGGUCAAUAGGACCAUUGAAAAUGCUUUGAAUGCUAAUUACGCUCUGAUAAACCUUGAAGAUGCUGAUAGAAAUGGUUAUGGGACACAUUGGGAGGAAUAUGAUGGGAAUGAGAAGAAGAUAGAAUGUAACCAGCCUUGUGUGACAAGAACCAUAUAAACCCCUUGUUUGCUUUUAAUAAAUCAAAGAA